GGCACAAAACCCUAGCACCUUCGUCGUUGGCAAACUAAGAAGACCUAGAACAAUAAAAACUUCCCCAACACACCUGUGACUUACCCAAUAUUUUGACGUCCUCCACCCCACGCUACAGCCAUGGAAACGGGUCAGCGCCUCACAAACAGAGAAUACCCAUUAGCAAUUGCUUCAUAGGACAUUGCAAAAUACUCAUCAUUAGGACUUAAGGAAAGAAGUACAAAGUUGAAUCACAACCCUACCAUCAGGACCCUUAUAUUGCGAUCUCGGUAUCGGAGCUUUUGGACCACAGU